UCCCUGCUGGCUCAGUUGGUAAAGAAUCUGCCUGCAGUGCAGGAGACCUGGGUUUGAUCCCUGGGUAGGGAA
rnacentral:tRNA from 1 species